AAAUAAGAAACAAUCUCUUGUAUUUAGUUUCGACCUAAAAUUUUGAUGGAAUCAACCAUCCUUAUUUA
rnacentral:tRNA from 1 species